UGCGGCGGAUUAGCUAGUUGGUGGGGUAACGGCCUACCAAGGCGAUGAUCCGUAGGGGGCGUGAGAGCGUGGCCCCCCACACUGGCACUGAGACACGGGCCAGACUCCUACGGGAGGCAGCAGUGAGGAAUAUUGCACAAUGGGCGGAAGCCUGAUGCAGCAACGCCGCGUGAGGGACGAAGGCCUUCGGGUCGUAAACCUCUUUUCUGGGGGACGAGUAAGGACGGUACCUCAGGAAUAAGUCUCGGCUAACUACGUGCCAGCAGCCGCGGUAAAACGUAGGAGGCGAGCGUUAUCCGGAUUUACUGGGCGUAAAGCGUACGCAGGUGGCUUCGUGAGUCGGACAUGAAAGCUCCCGGCUUAACUGGGAGAGGCUGUUCGAUACUGCGGGGCUUGAGGUUGGGAGAGGGACGCGGAAUUCCCGGUGUAGUGGUGGAAUGCGUAGAUAUCGGGAGGAACACCAGUGGCGCAAGCGGCGUCCUGGCCCACACCUGACGCUGAGGUGCGAAAGCGUGGGUAGCAAACAGGAUUAGAUACCCUGGUAGUCCACGCUGUAAACGAUGUCAACUGGGUGUCGGUAGUUUUACACUAUCGGUGCCGAAGCUAACGCG
rnacentral:rRNA from 1 species